ensembl:lncRNA
GGAGCAAAGAUGGUGGAGUGAGGUGUGACCCGGGCAGCUGGCCUGAGGGCCCAGGACAGGCCUCCCGUGAGAAGCAGAAUACUUGUGCUGGACCAUGUGAGGAACCUUAUCACAGAAGAUGAAUAUUUUCCUGACCUUAGGUGCUUUUAUAUUCAGCUCAACAUUCUGAACUCAGGACUUGGCAAGAAUUUCUAUGUGGACUGCUCAGUGAGACGUCCUGGUUCUUCUUCCAGUUCCUUUCCCCAUCCAUGAGUGUCCACCAUUUGGAAUUGACAAUUGGAGCCUAACAAGUUCAACCAAAGUGUCUUAGAUGGGGUUUUACUGCUGUGAACAAACACAAUGAUGAAGUAACUCUUGCUGAGAGUGCUUGGAUUGCAAGUGAAUUUUAAACCAGAGACACAGAAGAC